rnacentral:rRNA from 1 species
UACGUAGGGUGCGAGCGUUAAUCGGAAUUACUGGGCGUAAAGCGUGCGCAGGCGGUUAUGCAAGACAGAUGUGAAAUCCCCGGGCUUAACCUGGGAACUGCAUUUGUGACUGCAAAGCUGGAGUGCGGCAGAGGGGGGUAGAAUUCCGCGUGUAGCAGUGAAAUGCGUAGAUAUGCGGAGGAACACCGAUGGCGAAGGCAGUCCCCUGGGCCUGCACUGACGCUCAUGCGCGAAAGCGUGGGGAGCAAACAGG